GGGGUUGUGGCUCAGUGGCAGAGCACUUGCCCAGCAUGUGCAAGGCCCUGGGUUCCACCCCCAGCACCUCA
rnacentral:tRNA from 2 species